rnacentral:lncRNA from 1 species
UUUGAACAUGUCAUUCCCACUGCCUUUUGGCCUCCAUGGUUUUUGAUGAGAAAUUAGCAGUUAAUCUUAUUGAGGAUCACUCGUAUGUGGCAUAAUAAAAUCCUUGCCCUAUUCAUUCCAUCUUGGAGUCUGCUUCUUGGAGGACUUGGACGGACGUAGAACCUUUGCAUCAGAGCCCAGAGGCCGAGAGAGGCUGAUGGCAGGGGAAGCUUUGCUGCUUCGAGGGUCACACUGGCCAGCAGCCCCAGCUGGCCUUAGCUCUCCCCGUGCUGCAGAGACCUCAAGGACAAACAAGCAGGAUGGAAG